CUUUUUUUUUUUUCAAACAACACAACAUUCAACUCAACGCAGAGCCCCCCUCAUGCGCGCGCGCGCACGCACAACACACACGCGUGUCAAUCGAUCUGCAUGUGACUCCGUCAGUGAAUGAGCGAGAAUCAAGUGGAAAAACAUCAGCGAAAGGAGGCAAACAGCUGAUGUAAAAUUUGGAAAAAUAAAAAAGCUGUAACGCGGACAAAGUGUUGCGGAAAACUGAAAGGGGGGGAGAGAGAAAAGUGUUCGGCUAGAAGGAGCUGAGGCAGGGCGGAGGGAUUGCACAUUUUACGCAAGAAACGUCGGAGAAGAACAAAACUGUCCUCAGCCAGAAGAGGAUUUUAUAAGAAAACGAAGGUGGCGCAACUCUCUGGAUGUGGAAAGUCUUAAAACUAUCCAUAAAAUAAACCAGCGAAAGAUGCUCCCCGUUUUUCCCCGGACGCCCACGGACCCCACAGGCUGGACUUGGAGCUCCUUCCCUGGGCUGCGCUCACCAGGAGCUACCGCUGCCCCUCGUCCGAUCUCCACAGCUUGUACCCCACCUCCUUGUUGCAUUUGUGCUUUAAAAACACGUCUCUCAACAUCCAUUAGCCCUCCAUACCACUUUCCCCCGAUCCCACCAAAGCAACAAAAACAAAACAAACCGAAUCUGUUUUUAAAAGCGUGUUUUUCUACAACCAGCUGCUCCGGAGUGGAUCGCUGUCUCACCCGUUUCUUAUCUUCCAUUCAUGAGAGGAGGAGAGGACGGAGCGCUCAUGUAAACACAGUGCAGCGCUGAAGAGACAGCCUGGGAGACAUCUGGAGUAGAGGAGGAUAACAGCCACAUGCCGUUCUCCAACCACAGACAACAUGAUGAGGGAUUAAACUUCAUUGCAACAUGUUAUGAAGAUGGGCUGGACUAGACCUUGUGGUCUAAAGCACCGUCUGGACAUCUGGGUCUCAGAUUGGUGCCAGAGAGGGAGGAGAGCAGACGCGGUUUGAAAUCCCAAAGUGGUAAGGUUGACUCUGGGUCAUACUGGCUGACUGGCCUUAUGGCUCACAGAUGUUUGUCUGCUUCAGCAAGAGUGAUGUUUCUGGAAGAAAUUACAACAUCUUGUGCUGUGUGGUGCAAUAAUCUGCUCUUUUUAAUGAAGAUUAUAAAUUCAUAAUUUAUCAUCCAUACAUCAAAAAUCCGCCAAUCAAGAAGAAAAGCAAAAGCAUGUUUUUGGAUAAUGAAGCCUUUAGAAAGCAAUGAAUCUGCUAGUUUCACAGUGAUGAAGUGUUGUGCUGUUUGAAUUGGCUGCCCUCUAAGUUCCUCCCGAGUAAAGCA